rnacentral:rRNA from 1 species
AAGCGGUGGAGCAUGUGGUUUAAUUCGAAGCAACGCGAAGAACCUUACCAGGUCUUGACAUCCUUUGACCACUCUAGAGAUAGAGCUUCCCCUUCGGGGGCAAAGUGACAGGUGGUGCAUGGUUGUCGUCAGCUCGUGUCGUGAGAUGUUGGGUUAAGUCCCGCAACGAGCGCAACCCUUAUUGUUAGUUGCCAUCAUUUAGUUGGGCACUCUAGCGAGACUGCCGGUGACAAACCGGAGGAAGGUGGGGAUGACGUCAAAUCAUCAUGCCCCUUAUGACCUGGGCUACACACGUGCUACAAUGGGAAGUACAACGAGUUGCGAAGUCGCGAGGCUAAGCUAAUCUCUUAAAGCUUCUCUCAGUUCGGAUUGUAGGCUGCAACUCGCCUACAUGAAGCCGGAAUCGCUAGUAAUCGCGGAUCAGCACGCCGCGGUGAAUACGUUCCCGGGCCUUGUACACACCGCCCGUCACACCACGAGAGUUUGUAACACCCGAAGUCGGUGAGGUAACCUUUUUGGAGCCAGCCGCCUAAGGU